rnacentral:lncRNA from 1 species
GAUCCUCUGGCCUGUUAGGACAUGAGGCAUCAACAAAUGUGCAAUUAAGAAGAAAAAACCCUUUAAGGAGGGAAUGCUAGAGAAUAAAAUCCCUCUAUAGCUCUUCUAAGAGCCUUGCCAGGAAAGCCAUCUGUCAGGAGAUUAGUAAGAAGGUAAUUUCGGCAGGAAUUUUCCCUUGGGACCAUAUGGAGUGCCAGGAAAAGGUGUUGUGGCAUCAGGAGUGAAGACAAAAGCUCAGGGUCCUCAGCAGUGUUUAUCACAGACAGAAAGGAAACUAUCUACCCAUUCAUUGAGUCUUCCGGAAGAAGAGAGGGAGCUGCAUUGCUUUUGACAGGAGAUCUCGAGAACUAUUGGGAGGAGUUGAUGAAAUCAAAUCCCCUUAAAGUUUACUAA